CCGUAGGUGAACCUGCGGAGGGAUCAUUAAAGAGUUGCAAAACUCCCAAACCAUUGUGAACAUACCUUCAACGUUGCUUCGGCGGGUUGGCCCCGGUCUCCGGGGUCCCCGGCCCUACUCGGGCGCCCGCCGGAGGUAUCUAACUCUUGAACUUUUAUGGCCUCUCUGAGUCUUUGUACUUAAUAAGUCAAAACUUUCAACAACGGAUCUCUUGGUUCUGGCAUCGAUGAAGAACGCAGCGAAAUGCGAUAAGUAAUGUGAAUUGCAGAAUUCAGUGAAUCAUCGAAUCUUUGAACGCACAUUGCGCCCGCCAGUAUUCUGGCGGGCAUGCCUGUUCGAGCGUCAUUUCAACCAUCAAGCCCCCGGCUUGUGUUGGGGACCUGCGGCUGCCGCAGGCCCUGAAAACCAGUGGCGGGCUCGCUAGUCACUCCGAGCGUAGUAAUACAUCUCGCUCAGGGCGUGCUGCGGGUUCCGGCCGUUAAAAAGCCUUAUUUACCCAAGGUUGACCUCGGAUCAGGUAGGAAGACCCGCUGAACUUAAGCAUAUCAAUAAGCGG
rnacentral:rRNA from 1 species